rnacentral:rRNA from 1 species
GACGAACGCUGGCGGCGUGCUUAACACAUGCAAGUCGAACGGAGCGAAUGAAAGCUUGCUUUUAUAAGCUUAGUGGCAAACGGGUGAGUAACACGUAGGCAACCUGCCGACAGGAUGGGGACAACAUUCCGAAAGGAAUGCUAAUACCGAAUGAAGUCGAGGGAGGGCAUCCUCCUCCGAUGAAAGAUGGCCUCUAUAUAUAAGCUAUCACCUGUCGAUGGGCCUGCGUCUGAUUAGCUGGUAGGUGAGGUAACGGCUCACCUAGGCGACGAUCAGUAGCCGGUCUGAGAGGAUGAACGGCCACAUUGGGACUGAGACACGGCCCAGACUCCUACGGGAGGCAGCAGUGGGGAAUCUUCCGCAAUGGGCGCAAGCCUGACGGAGCAACGCCGCGUGAGUGAAGAAGGUCUUCGGAUCGUAAAGCUCUGUUGAUGGGGACGAACGUGCCUAAUGCGAAUAGUAUAGGUAAAG